rnacentral:rRNA from 1 species
UACGUAGGGGGCGAGCGUUGUCCGGAAUUAUUGGGCGUAAAGAGCGUGUAGGCGGUUCGGUAAGUCUGUCGUGAAAUCCUGGGGCUCAACCUCGGGCGUGCGAUGGAUACUGCCGGGCUAGAGGGUGGUAGAGGCGAGUGGAAUUCCCGGUGUAGCGGUGAAAUGCGCAGAUAUCGGGAGGAACACCAGUAGCGAAGGCGGCUCGCUGGGCCGCACCUGACGCUGAGACGCGAAAGCUAGGGGAGCGAACAGG